UGUUAAAACAGUUGUGGUUGUUGGUUCUGCUGUAGAUGUAAGUUGUGUUGUUGUUGUUUCUGUAGGAGGGGCAGUAGUUGUAAGCUGAGAUGUAGUUGUAGCUGCAUUUGUUGUAACCAGGGUUGUAGAUUGAGCUGUACUUGUUGUAGGUAGGGAUGUUGUUGCUGUCUGUGUUGUGGUGCUUUGUUCAGAUGUAGUUGAUUGUUCUGUUGUAGAUGUUAAAACCGUUGUGGUUGUUGGUUCUGCUGUAGAUGUUAAAACAGUUGUGGUUGUUGGUUCAGUUGUAGAUGUUA